ACGCCUAACACAUGCAAGUCGAACGAAGUAGCAAUACUUAGUGGCGAACGGGUGAGUAUAAUGUGGGUAUCUGCCUUUUGGUUUGGAAUAACACGGGGAAACUUGUGCUAAUACCGGAUAAGCCUUUACAGGGAAAGUUUUAACGCCAAAAGAUGAGCCCGCACUUGAUUAGCUAGUUGGUAAGGUAAUGGCUUACCAAGGCUACGAUCAAUAGCUGAUCUGAGAGGAUGAUCAGCCACAUUGGGACUGAGACACGGCCCAAACUCCUACGGGAGGCAGCAGUGGGGAAUCUUGCACAAUGGGGGAAACCCUGAUGCAGCGAUGCCGCGUGAGUGAAGAAGGCCUUUGGGUUGUAAAGCUCUUUCGUCGGGGAAGAAAAUGACUGUACCCGAAUAAGAAGGUCCGGCUAACUUCGUGCCAGCAGCCGCGGUAAUACGAAGGGACCUAGCGUAGUUCGGAAUUACUGGGCUUAAAGAGCUCGUAGGUGGUUAGAAAAGUUGGUGGUGAAAGCCCAAGGCUUAACCUUGGAACUGCCGCCAAAACUUUUUAACUAGAGUAUGAUAGAGGAAAGUGGAAUUUCUAGUGUAGAGGUGAAAUUCGUAGAUAUUAGAAAGAACACCGAUUGCGAAGGCAACUUUCUGGAUCAUUACUGACACUGAGGAGCGAAAGCAUGGGUAGCGAAGAGGAUUAGAUACCCUCGUAGUCCAUGCCGUAAACGAUGUGUGCUAGACGUUGGAAAUUUAUUUUUCAGUGUCGCAGCAAAAGCGUUAAGCACACCGCCUGGGGAGUACGAC
rnacentral:rRNA from 1 species